GCCUGGGUAGCUCAGUUGGUUGGGCCUCUGACUUCGGCCGAGGUCAUGAUCUGAUGGUUCGUGGGUUCAAGCCCCGCAUCGGGCU
rnacentral:tRNA from 1 species